AAGGAAAAAGUUCAGUUUAGGGUUUAAAACUCUAAUGCUGACUGAAUGGAAAAAGUUCAGUUUAGGGUUUAAAACCCUAAUGCUGACUGAAUGGAAAAAGUUUAGUUUAGGGUUUAAAACCCUAAUGCUGACUAAAUGGAAAAGUUCAGUUUAGGGUUUAAAACCCUAAUGCUGACUAAAUGGAAAAGAGUUCAGUUUAGGGUUUAAAACCAUAAUGCUGACUGAAUGGAAAAAGUUUAGUUUAGGGUUUAAAACCCUAAUGCUGACUAAAGGAAAAGUUCAGUUUAGGGUUUAAAACCCUAAUGCUGACUGAAUGGAAUAAGUUCAGUUUAGCGUUUAAAACCCUAAUGCUGACU
rnacentral:lncRNA from 1 species